rnacentral:rRNA from 1 species
AUUGGAAACGAUGAUUAAAACCUCAUAAUGCUGUUUCAACACAUGUUGAGACAGCCAAAGAUUUAUCGGCUAGGGAUGGGCCUGCGUCUGAUUAACUGGUUGGUGAGGUAACGGCCCACCAAGGUGACGAUCAGUAGCCGACCUGAGAGGGUGAUCGGCCACAUUGGAACUGAGACACGGUCCAAACUUCUACGGAAGGCAGCAGUAAGGAAUCUUGCACAAAGGGGGAAACCCUGAUGCAGCAACGCCGCGUGA